AGAGUACGAUCNNGGCUCAGGAUGAGUGNNAGNGUCAGUNUUAACACAGNCAAGUCGAAGGGUAACAGGGAUGUAUUGCUAUCCGNUGACGACCGGCGCACGGGUGCGUAACGCGUAUACAAUNUACCUUUUACAGAGGGAUAGCCCAGAGAAAUUUGGAUUAAUACUUCANGGCAUUAUUAACNGGCAUCGUUUUGAUAAUUAAAACUUNGGUGGUAAAAGAUUAGUAUGCGUUCUAUUAGCUAGUUGGUACGGUAACGGCGUACCAAGGCUACGAUAGGUAGGGGCCCUGAGAGGGGGAUCCCCCACACUGGUANUGAGACACGGACCAGACUCNUACGUGAAACAUCAGUGAGGAAUAUUGGGCAAUGGAGGCAAGUCUGUCCCCGCGUUGAAGGGUGCAGGAAGACUGCCCUAUGGGUUGUAAACUGGUUUUAUACAGGAAGCAACCCACCCANGUGUAGGUGGNUGACGGUACUGUANGAAUAAGCACCGGCUAACUCCGUGCCACCAGCCGNGGAAU
rnacentral:rRNA from 1 species